rnacentral:lncRNA from 1 species
UUUUUUUUUUUUUUUUUUGGCAGCUACGAUGUUGUUGUAAUAGGAGGUGGUCCAGGUGGAUACGUUUGUAGUAUUCGUUGUGGUCAGCAUAAAUUAAAAGUUUUAAAUGUAAAUGAUGAUAUAAAAUUAGGUGGUACUUGCUUAAAUAGAGGAUGUAUACCUUCCAAAUCAUUAUUACACAUAGCGCAUAAUUAUUACGAAUCAAAAUAUAAAUUUAAAGAUAGUGGAAUAUUAAUUGAUGAUAUAAAACUUGACGUUGAACAAAUACAUAAACAUAAAAACAAAUGUAUGAACAGUUUAGCUGAUGGUAUAUCUUAUUUAUAUAAAAAAAUAAUGUAAAUUAUAUGAAAGGACAUGGUAGUAUUUUAGAUGAACAUACAGUUUUAGUAAAAUCAAAUAAUGAAGAAAAAAAAGUAACAGCCGAACGUAUUGUUAUAGCUACAGGAUCUAAACCAAUUGAAAUGCCAUUAAAAUUUGUUAAACUAAAUGAUGAAAGUGUAACUGAUAAUUCUAAAUUGUUAGAAACUAUUCAAAAUGGUAACGAUAUACUUGAAUAUGACCAUGAAAUAAUUCAAACAUCAGAUGAUAUUGUUUACUUUAAAAAAAUCCCUAAAUGUAUGACUGUUAUUGGAGGUGGUGUUAUAGGAUUAGAAAUAGGAACUGUUUUUGCAAAAUUUGGAACAAAUGUAACUAUAUAUGAGUAUAACAAUCGAUUGUGUAGUUUUCUUGAUGAAGAUGUAAGUAAAGUAUUACAUAAAAUGUUAGAAAAAAAAAAAAAAAAAAAAAAAAAAAAAAAAAAAAAUAUAUAUAUAUAUAUAUAUGUAAACCGAAUUACAAUUGUUUGGUGAAUUUUUUUUUUUUUUUUUUUUGCAAAAAAACGAAACACUUGAAUAUAUAUAAAUAUACUUAUGGAUGUUUACAUAAGUUUCACCUUUUUGUUUGUUAAUUUUGCAUUCUUGGGUAUGUUUUAUUUAUUUAUUUCUUUUUUUCACUUCUUCAUAUUUAUUUGUCCAUCCAUCCAUUUGUUCAUUCAAUUGUUUAUUUGUUAAUUUGUUUAAUUGUUUAAUUGUUUAAUUG